AACGAACGCUGGCGGCAGGCCUAACACAUGCAAGUCGAGCGGACCCUUCGGGGUUAGUGGCGGACGGGUGAGUAACGCGUGGGAAUAUGCCCUUAUCUUCGGAAUAGCUCUGGGAAACUGGGGGUAAUACCGUAUACGCUCUUUGGGGGAAAGAUUUAUCGCGGUAGGAUUAGCCCGCGUUGGAUUAGGUAGUUGGUGGGGUAAUGGCCUACCAAGGCGACGAUCCAUAGCUGGUUUGAGAGGAUGAUCAGCCACACUGGGACUGAGACACGGCCCAGACUCCUACGGGAGACAGCAGUGGGGAAUCUUAGACAAUGGGGGCAACCCUGAUCGAGCCAUGCCGCGUGAGUGAUGAAGGCCUUAGGGUUGUAAAGCUCUUUUAGCUGGGAAGAUAAUGACGGUACCAGCAGAAGAAGCCCCGGCUAACUCCGUG
rnacentral:rRNA from 1 species